rnacentral:lncRNA from 1 species
CUCCAAUGAGGUUACUUAGUCCCAAUUGUGGCUCAAGGUCGGAGUAGAUUCUUGUUUGAAACGACUCAAAUAAGUAAUGUACGAACUUGAACCAAAAGAUACUACGACUCAAAAACGAGAAAAGCACAAAACAAACAACGUUAACACGAAGAAGUGUAUUCAAAAAUUAAUUUACAAUCUAGUAGAGGAGUACUAGCUUGUCGAUUAGUUAUUAGAGUCAACAAACGAAACUAGGAACCA